rnacentral:rRNA from 1 species
AACGGGUGGUAAUGCCGGAUGUUCCACAUGAUCGCAUGUGAUUGUGGGAAAGAUUCUAUCGGCGUGGGAUGGGGUCGCGUCCUAUCAGCUUGUUGGUGAGGUAACGGCUCACCAAGGCUUCGACGGGUAGCCGGCCUGAGAGGGCGACCGGCCACAUUGGGACUGAGAUACGGCCCAGACUCCUACGGGAGGCAGCAGUGGGGAAUAUUGCACAAUGGGCGCAAGCCUGAUGCAGCGACGCCGCGUGAGGGAUGGAGGCCUUCGGGUUGUAAACCUCUUUUGUUUGGGAGCAAGCCUUCGGGUGAGUGUACCUUUCGAAUAAGCGCCGGCUAACUACGUGCCAGCAGCCGCGGUAAUACGUAGGGCGCAAGCGUUAUCCGGAUUUAUUGGGCGUAAAGGGCUCGUAGGCGGCUCGUCGCGUCCGGUGUGAAAGUCCAUCGCUUAACGGUGGAUCUGCGCCGGGUACGGGCGGGCUGGAGUGCGGUAGGGGAGACUGGAAUUCCCGGUGUAACGGUGGAAUGUGUAGAUAUCGGGAAAGAACACCA